CUGGCUGUCAGGGAGGGCAAUGCUUACCGAAAAGGAAUGGAGCUCUUGGCUGGAGAGGGGUUGAGGUUGAAAUGAGGAUGGGGGGCUGUUUCCAAGGUCCUGAAAGCACAGUCAGGUCUGCCUUUAGUCUCUGAAAUCCUCAUGAAGACUUCAACCAAGGAGGGGGAGAGAGCAGAGAGGAAAGUGGGUGUGGGAGUGGCCCAGACUCUGGAGGACAUAAGAAGUGCCUCCAGAGGAGGUCUCAGUUGCUGCUCCAAGUCGCCCCUGCAGCCAGGUUCCCUGAGCCCUUCCAGAGAUGGUCAGCAGUGGAG
rnacentral:lncRNA from 1 species